GAACGCACCUUGCGCUCCUUGGUAUUCCGAGGAGCAUGCCUGUUUGAGUGUCAUGAAAUUCUCAACCUUUUCAGCUUUCUUUGUUGAUCAGGCUUGGAUGUGGGAGUAUGCGGGCUUCUCAGAAGUCGGCUCUCCUGAAAUGCAUUAGCGGGACCUUUGUUGCCUGGCUUUGGUGUGAUAAUUAUCUACGCCAUUGUAGUCAAGCAGCUUAAAAUGAGGUUUCAGCUUCUAACCGUCUCCCCUGAGACAACUUUUUGACAAUUUGACCUCAAAUCAGGUAGGACUACCCGCUGAACUUAAG
rnacentral:misc_RNA from 1 species